CGGCUUAGCCGCGGAGGGCGGGGCGGCGGCCCGGAAAGUUCCCGGCCCCUCCCCGGUCCGGCAGGCAGAGGGAGGGGCCGGGGCUUCCGGACGGGCGCGGGGCGCCGGGGGUGACUCAGGGGGCGCUGACUCAGGGGCCGCCGCCCGCCCCGGCCGGGCGCGAGGUCACCUGUGCUCUGCUGGGUCGGGGGCUGCGAACCGCAACCGAAAGAAACCUGGGAAGAGCGGGAUUCUUCGCCCGGCCGCGCUGGGCCCAUGCAGCUCCGGCCCUGGGCGGGGGCUCCGGGGACCCUGCGGGCAUCUCGGGAAUGGCCCAGGACCCGGUUCCGCGGACCCGGGUGCGUCCACCUGCUGGGCGGCUUUUGCAGCAGCCAGGGCAGCCUGGGCCUUGGCUGGGAGUGGGAACCUGGCCGGUCCUCACCGCUUUCCAGUGACCAGGCUCUGCGUUUCCUCCCAGGGCUCCCAAAGCUCUGAGACAUUGCCACAACACCGAAGCCCGGCUGUGAAACAACCCUGACUCUACCGCAGGCUCCGGGUCCCUCGGCGGAAAGGCCGCCUUCAUAGCCACAGAAAAAGUUGUAAGGUCCAGGCGCGGAGCCCAGCCGGCGAUCGCAAAUGGAACGGUUGGCUGGGGCGCAGCGCAUGGAAAUGCCAGUUGGGACCCGCGGCUCUGCCAACAGCGGCGGAUCCGACUGAGAAGCUCGAACUGGUCCAGCACUCAGGAGGCUGAGACAGGAGGAUUGCCAUGUGUUUGAGGCCAGCCUGGGCUACAUAGCAAGACCUUGUCUAAAGAAAACAGAAAACAACAACAACACACAACAGAAACCCCAAAAGUGAUGGUGCUGAAUCUUCUUGGAGAGAGGAUCUCAUAGCAAAUAUUACUGAUCCCAGCCAUGCCUGCCCUGGAAGGAGUGGGGUAGACAAGGAGGCCGUGGACAGAUGGUGUCAGAAAACCGAGGAUCUGAACAAACCGCUCCCGAGGCACCGGAUGUCCCAAGCCUGCGGGACAUUCCUGGCCACCUUCCGUCCUAAGGCAGAAAACCUGGAUGCAUUCUGACCCUUUGUGCCUCACUUCUGAGGAAAAUAACCUUUCUGUCCUCUGUCUCCUUUGCUUAAUCCUAAGAAUAAUGGGAAAAGGAUAAAAACCCACACCAGCCUAGAAGUGUGGUCACCAGGCGAGAUGACCACAGCCUGGUGGCCAGGCACACUGGGCCCGCAGAGCUGAGUGGAUAAAGGUUAGGACAGGGCAGUAGGGCAGGGACACGUCCAGGGGGAGGGGCAUUCCCAGUACAGUGAAUGACACUAUCACCCAGUGCACAGAGCCAAUCAGAUGCUGUUUUGGACCAAUCAGAAUCUUGCUAUUUUCAAUCCCUCAUUUGAAUCUGCUGCUGUUCACAGGACCAGUCAGAAGAUGCUCUUCGCAAUCCUUCAUUUGCAUGUGGGCACAGCCAAUCAAGACUCUGCUCCUGAUCCUUCAUUUACAUAAGGCAAAAACCAGAGGCAUUUUGGGAUAGGACAGUUCAUUCCCAGGGAGUGUUUGAUAGGACGACUAUUCUAAUGCCUUCUUUACAUGAAGAGAGAGAGAUAAUGCAGGAAUUCCAGAUGCAAAAGACCUUUCCCCCUCCCGAAGGCUGCUGUGAGUGUAUUUUUCUGCCUUCAAUAAAUGUACACUCUUGCUGCCUUUUCUGAGUGUCUUGUUCAGGUCACCAAGAACCUGGAAAGAAGCCCCACGGGACCCUCCAUCCACUAACAUUUCGGACAGGAACUCCCAGGUGCUGGUCACCUCUGGAUGGUGGACUUGGUUUGAUAGCACCCACUCAGCGCUCGCCUCCCCCGGCCAGGCUGGGCCCUGGAGGCCAGGCAUCGCACCUGGGUGGGACAGUUGGCUGUGAAACUGAAGUGAGCAGGACCAUCUUCGCUGGCCUGGGGCUGUGAUACCCUUCACUGCUACUGACCCCCUCUGGGCCCACAUUAAAGUCCACCGUUCUGAGCUGGACAGCGGGAAUGAGCCCCUGUGCUGCAGAAGGGCCUGAGGGUCAGAGCUCAGGAGAUCCCAUUGCUUUCUUCCAUGUUUUGUUUCAGAAUGAACGUGCUCUUUGUGGUUGUUUCAUGAGGUUCAAGAAACUCCACAACCCAUUUGGCCACCCACUGAUCUUUUAGGGAAAGACCCCCCUAGAAGGAUUGGUCCAAGGGUUUAUUAAUUUGGAAGGAAGGCUAAUAAAGCGGAAAAGGAUUAUUUUGCUCCAGCCCAGCACUGUUUUAUUUAGAGCUGUACAGAGAGUGUUUCUGAUGCUGUGAUUUGUGCUGGCACUUUGCUUGGUGUCACAGCUAAAGUAGAUCAGGGCAUUGCUAUAGUGGAAAAACUCUUUAACUUCUCUAUUUUAUUAAGUCUUACAUUAUGUGAUGAUUCUUUAAACAUCCCCAAAAGUUUUGAGGUCCUUAAAAACAAACACUGGGAACAGUAAGGUGGCUUUAAUCAAGACAAGAAACUAGAGAGUAAAAUGGUAACUAAACAUUAACUUUGCAUAUUGCUGUAGUUUGGAUGUUAAAUAUCCCCCAAAGCCCAAGUGUUGAAGGCUCAGUCCCCAGCCUGCAGUGCAAUUGAGAAGUGGUGAGACCUUUAAGGGCAGGGCCUAGUGAAAGGGAGUUAGGUCAUUGGGGUAUGGCCUUGAAGGGACCUGAGCUCCGCCCCUUCCUGCUCCUUUCUGUCUGCUUCCUAGCUGCCAUGAUGUGAGCAGCUUUGCGCUUCCCCACACUCCUGUCAGGAGGAGCCACUUCACCCUAGGCCCCGAAUCCAGGGCCCCACUGCCUGUGUACUGAAACUUGUGACAGUGGGAGCUCCAAUUCUCCUUUAAGCUUGAUUGUCACAGGUGUUUGUUGCAGUGAGAGAAAGCUGACCUACCCUAGAUAUUGAUUUUGCAUGGAUUAAUCACAUCAGAUGAAAUGCAGAAUUCUGAUAGGAACUUGAGAAAGGGUGAGCAUGAAGGCCAUGUCUAGAAGUUGGCCUGGUUUGGAGUCUGACAGCUGAGACUUUGGUUUUAAGUGUCCCAGUGAGAGGCCUUCUCUCUGCCUGCUGGCACCUGCUGCUCUUACUCGACCCCUGCAUGGGGGCACAGGGCAGCUCAAGGAGGACAGUCACUUUGGUGGCUCCUUGGAUUCGGCUGAGGAACAAGCUCACCCCUCAGCCACCAUGAAGCCGGCACUGAGGGGUCUUAUUUGCCAAAAGAGGCCUCGUUAGUAAGUGGUUUUGGUUGUGUUUUUAAGCUCUAUUUGCCAACUAUAGGGAUUAACUUUAAUUAGUUUUACAAAACUUAAAGGGUUUUAAAAAACUUUUCAAAUAACUUGAGGAAAAUAAUAUACUGUUACUUCUCAUGGGAUUAAUUUCCUGAAAGGCUCCCUGCUCGGGCUUAGACAUAGAUUUUCUGCUCCCCAUGCUUCUCCGCCCUCCAGACCUCUCAAGGUCAUUUCCACAGAAAUGCUUGGUUAAUUAGGGGUUCUAGUGACUGAGGAGAUACGAAUAGAAAACUUGGUUGAAAAUGAGGAAGUUGUGUUGUAUGCCUGUAUCAGUUUUGGCAAAAUGGAUAUCACUAUUCUGUAAUACGAACAUGCACUUAAAAAAAAUAAAGAAUGGAGGCCCCGGGGAUUUAGCUCAGUGGUUCCAGCACCUGCCUUGCAAACACAAGGUCCCGAGUUCGAUCCCUGGUACCAAAAAAAAAAAAGAAUGGAGAAGUUAGGUGUGGUGGCACACCUGUAAUUCCAGCACUGGGGAGGCUGAGGCAGCAGGGUCCCUGUGAGUUUGAGGCCAGGCUGGGUUCAAGACCAGUGAGUCCAAGACGAGCUUGGAAUACAUAGCAAGACUUUCUCUCAAAAAACCAAACAAAACCAAAAACAAAAACAAAACCAACAGCAAAACAAAAUGAACUCCAUCAGAAAAACGCAAUCAGAAAUAGACUCAAUCAAACAAAACUCAGAAAUUUCUUUUCUUUCUUCUCUUCCUCCCCCCCCUUUUCCCUCCUCCCAUUUCUCCUUCUUUGAGACAGAUUCUCACUGUGUAGUUCAGGCUGGCCUUGAACUCACUAUGUAUACCAGGCUGGGCUCAGACUCACAGCAGUCCUCCUGCCUCAGCCUCCCAAGUGAUGAGAUUAUCCACCACAACCACCCCUGGCAUUAAUUUUUAAAAAAUACAUAAUUUGGAAUUUACUACUACUUUUUUGGCUUAAAGAAGAGUUUAUUUAUUGGUGACUAUAACCUACAUCUAUAUCCUGCCGAAAAAGUUUACACACUUCAGCAGUUUGUGGUACUAAUAAAAGCCUGGAAGCUCAGGCCCACCACUGAGUACCUUGUGUGAUUGUAGAGGCCGAAGGUAACUUGCGUUAAUCUCAUGAUGUCUUGAUAAAUUCAGUAUUAAAAUAUUUGUAGAAGUUUUUCUUUUUCUGGUGCACACUUUUUCUGGCAGACUACGUAUGAUGAUGCACAUGUAUCUGUGAUUACCGUACAUAUAUAUGUGAAUACUCAGCUGAGGGUUUUAGCUUUAUUUUCCUGAACACUGUUGGGGAAAUUGAGACUGUGAGAGAUUCUUACUUGAAGAGCCUGUUUUGUGCUCUUGGCUCUUAACUACCCCUUGGCGCUGCUGUAUUUAAUUCAUUUAACCUUCAAGGCCCCAGGGUCACCUGGCCUCGACCAAGUUCUACUGUUUCUGCCUGAAGGAAAGGAAGAGGGAGGGAGGAUCUCAUUUUGAGACCCGGAAGUUUGAUACUUGGCUUCCAAGUUGCGUUUGGUGCCUAGAUAUCCACCAGCAAGCGCUUAACGCGACACAGGACCGCCUGGGCCAUUUGUAGACUGGUGCGUGCUAGUUGCUGUCACUCACGUCCCACGGUCGGAUGGCGACAGCAGCACCCAUCUGCCCUGCGGUCUCCUGCUGUGUGCAAACAAGGCCGGGUGCCCUUGCGGUGGGGGCCUGCUCUCUCAAGCUGUGUCCCUCCAGAGGAGCCAGGGAGCCACAGAUGUGAAACAGCAGCCCCAGGCAGAGCCGUGGCAUCCGAUGUGUCCCGGACGGGGUCCUCACCCGAGGAGGAGCCGCAUGGAGAGGGCCCAACUCGGGAACGAAAGCACUGGAGUGGCGGUGGCCCCUUCCUCCGCUGUGGGCCGUGAACUGCAGGCUUCCAGGCCGCGCGAGACAGAGGCCCGCUUUCAUCUGCUGAACACGCUGCGCCCACUCCGCUGCGGGCUCUGAGCUCCGGAGUGC
ensembl:lncRNA